CAUGCAGUCUCAGUACAGACUAUAUUAAAGUGAAACCGCNAAAGGCUCAGUAAACCAGUUUUAAUUUACUAGAGUUAACUUGACUGUGUUUGGAUAACUGUGGUAAUUCUAGAGCUAAUACAUGCAACCAAGCCGUGACCAUUCGUGGUCAGGGCGCUUUUAUUAGACCAAGACCAAUCGCCCGGCCAGUCCAGGCGUUAAGUUGAGGAACCUAGAUGACACAGCAGAUCGCAUGGUCUUCGUACCGGCGACUUAUCUUUCAAAUGCCUGACUUAUCAACUGACGAUGGUAGACUCUGUGUCUACCAUGGCUGUUACGGGUAACGGGGAAUCAGGGUUCGAUUCCGGAGAGGGAGCCUGAGAAACGGCUACCACAUCCAAGGAAGGCAGCAGGCACGCAAAUUACCCACUCCCGGAACGGGGAGGUAGUGACAAAAAAUAACGAUACGGGACUCGAUAUGAGGCCUCGUAAUCGGAAUGAGUACACUCUAAAUCCUUUAACAAAAAUCUAUUGGAGGGCAAGUCUGGUGCCAGCAGCCGCGGUAAUUCCAGCUCCAAUAGCGUAUAUUAAAGUUGUUGCGGUUAAAAAGCUCGUAGUUGGUUCUGCGUCCCGCGCUGUCGGUACACCGUUUGUCGGUGACACUGGCAUGACGCGGGAUGUCCUGUCGGUGGCGGCGGANACCAUAUCGCCGUCGGCUAACACCGCGGCGUGUUGGCCUUCUGUCGCCGGCUCUAUCCUACCGCGGUGCUCUUCACUGAGUGUCGAGGUAGGCCGACACGUUUACUUUGAACAAAUUAGAGUGCUUAAAGCAGGCAAAAAUCUCUGCCAGAAUAGUGGUGCAUGGAAUAAUAGAACAGGACCUUGGUUCUAUUCUGUUGGUCUCCGGAACACAAGGUAAUGAUCAAUGUGGACAGGCGGGGGCAUUCGUAUUGCGGCGUUAGAGGUGAAAUUCUUGGAUCGUCGCAAGACGCACUAGAGCGAAAGCAAUUGCCAAGUAUGUCUUAGGGCACCACCAGAAGUGGAGCCUGCGGCUUAAUUUGACUCAACACGGGAAACCUCACCAGGUCAGGACAUUGGAAUGAUUGACAGAUUGAUAGCUCUUUCUUGAUUCAGUGGGUAGUGGUGCAUGGCCGUUCUUAGUUGGUGGAUCGAUUUGUCUGGUUAAUUCCGAUAACGAACGAGACUCUAGCCUAUUAACUAGACGCGUUUGGUAUCGAAUCUACCGGCGAACUAUAUUCUUCUUAAGGGGACAGGCGGCUUUUAGCCGCACGAGAUUGAGCAAUAACAGGUCUGUGAUGCCCUUAGAUGUCCUGGGCCGCACGCGCGCUACACUGAAGGAAUCAGCGUGUGCGUUCCCUUGGCCGAAAGGUCCGGGUAACCCGCUGAACCUCCUUCGUGCUAGGAAUUGGGGCUUGCAAUUGUUCCCCAUGAACGAGGAAUUCCCAGUAAGCGCGAGUCAUAAGCUCGCGUUGAUUACGUCCCUGCCCUUUGUACACACCGCCCGUCGCUACUACCGAUUGAAUGAUUUAGUGAGGUCUUCGGACUGGCGGUAAGCCCAACCGACUCGUCGGUUUUGUCGAACGCUGGAAAGAUGACCAAACUUGAUCAUUUAGAGGAAGUAAAAGUCGUAACAAGGUUUCCG
rnacentral:rRNA from 1 species